rnacentral:rRNA from 1 species
UACGUAGGUGGCAAGCGCUACUCGGAAUCACUAGGCGUAAAGCGCAGGUAGGCGGUUUGGUAAGUCUUUUGUGAAAGCUCCCGGCUUAACUGGGAGAGGUCAAAGGAAACUACCAGACUAGAGUGUGGUAGGGGAUACUGGAAUUCCUGGUGUAGCGGUGAAAUGCGUAGAUAUCAGGAGGAAUACCUAUGGCGAAAGCAGGUAUCUGGGCCAUCACUGACGCUGAGCUGCGAAAGCUAGGGGAGCAAACAGG